rnacentral:rRNA from 1 species
CUGGGAUUAGAUACCCCACUAUGCUUAGCCCUAAACAAAAAUAGUAUAAACACACUACUAUUCGCCCGGGAACUACCAGCGAAAAGCUAAAAACCCAAAGGACUUGGCGGUGCUUCAAAUCAACCUAGAGGAGCCUGUCCUAUAAUCGAUAAUCCACGUUUUACCUUACCGUCUUUUGACCCCCCAGCCUAUAUACCGCCGUCGUAAGCCUACCUCAUAAGAGAAAAAAAGUUAGCAUAAUAGUUAAUAGCUAACACGUCAGGUCAAGGUGUAGCACAUAAGACGGCAGCGAUGAGCUACAUUCUCUAAAAAGCACACGAACGACAUACUGAAAUACAUGUCUGAAGGCGGAUUUAGCAGUAAAAAACCCCAGAAUAGCUAUUUUAAACCUGCUCUGAAGCACGCACACACCGCCCGUCACCCUCAUCACAUGCCAAUAAUACAAAAUAUAAUCAACAACAUACCCAGAUGAGGCAAGUCGUAACACGGUAAG